rnacentral:snRNA from 1 species
GGAUGUGAGGGCGACCUGGGUGUGAUAUCUGUCACCCCACUGAUCACCAGUUGAUUCGGCUGAUCUGGCUGGCUAGGCAGGUGUCCCCUUCCUCCCUCACCGCUCCAUGUGCGUCCCUCCCGAAGCUGCAUGCUCGGUCCGAAUAGAGACAAUCGGUCUUCGGUCGAGGGUAUCCGAGUAGCUGCACUCCCCUGCUAGAACCUCCAAAUAAGCUCUCAAGAAAGACUACUGACUCUAAGUUUACUUACAAUCAGGUGUAGGCUUUACAUCUUUUAACUGAUGCUGAAGUUUCUUUACAUU